CCUGGAGGCUGUUGGACAACUGGGUCUCUCAGAGCUGUAGCUUUGCUGCGGGCAAAGGCUUCUGUAGCCAUAUAACCGCUCUGCUGUUCCAGACAGCGCAUUAUGUGCAGCUGGGCCUUGAUGUGGUUCCACCUUCCCUGGCCUGUACCAGUCAACCACAGAUGUGGCAUCGACCUCGAACCCACGUGUGCUGUUGUGUCCUCUGUUCAAAUCAUACACUUCAGUAUUUGUCUAGAGUAUAUGAGCAUUUCCUGUAUUGUUGUUCGCCUCAGGGAAUCCAUCCAGAGGCUGUGAGUGACCUGGUGGUGAAGAAACCCAAGUCGGUGGGGAAGACUGGAGUCAAGUCCACACUCUACAGAGCGUAUGCUGAGGGAAUAUCCAGCUUGGAGUUGGUACCAUCUCAGCUGUGCUGACCUGGAAGAUGUCAGCAAUGACUUGUUCUUUAAGGCCAGUUGCUACUCUACAACAGUAGAUGAAAAACUCAUCAAUGGCUGGAAUCUUCCUUGAAGGGCUUGGUGUUGGAAUCGCCUCUUGUCCAGUCCUCUGUGCUUUGCUCCAAUAAAGAAUAUAUUGUGUUGAGGGGCAAAACAGACUCCCAAAACACUUGAAACACUU